AUGGGCCGGUUCGAUGGAGCAGUGGGCCGGCUGGUGCGUUGGGCCUUAGCACUGAAUGCGUGCACAGUUGGGCCUCGCUGGAAGAGGCAGAAUGCGGUCAACGCGGUUGGGAUUAGCGCGCGUCCACUGCUCGAUAGGAAGCAGAGCCGCAGCGGUGCGGGCAACUCCGCGGGAGGACGGAGCGACGGGAACGGGAGGAGUUCGUCGGAUCUGGCACAGGGCUGCCCGGAUCCCGACAAAGAUGAAGCAGAUCGGGUGGUGGUGCAACAAACGUGGCCGGCGGUGAGCUCCUGUCCAUGGGGGAAAAGAGAGAGACCGCCGAUAAACAAUUGA
rnacentral:rRNA from 1 species